AAUGAUUUUUCUUGUAUGAAGGUUAUCAAGGACCAUCUCAGGAAGAGUUCUUUUCCAGAAUGCUACAAAAUACUUUGUGAACAACCAAAAAAUGUUUUCCGAACACAUUUCCAUGAAUGCAUUGCUGACAGCCAAGGUUCUCAGUGUGAACGCCAAGAAAGAGCAUGUGAACCUGUCACUGCUGUCAAAGGACACUGGCAAACCAGAUCUGCUCCCAGAAUCCCUUGAGCUUCCAUUGCGUUUGACAGAAGAGCAGAAGCAAGAACGUGACAAGAAAGCCAUCAAGAGGAAGCGGGUUAAUUCUGAGAGCCAGCAACAAGACGAUGAGAAAAAUGGACAGAUGAUUAAAAAGAAAAAAGAAGGCCCAGUAAAGGGCAAAUCCACAGAAAAGAAGAAAACGAUAAAAAAGAAAACGAAAACAGAGGAUAAUGACAGUGGUGUAGAAGUGUUCUGCAGAGAGGAGGAAGUAAUGCCGUUGCGUAAAAAUCAAGACCAAGUAAAGGUGACACAUCUUCUCUUUUCAGAUCAAUUCGAUUGAUUUUAUAUUUUAAUAUGGGUGUACAGCUGCUUCUCUGAUGUGUAACAGUUGUCGUCUGAUUGUUUAGGGUAAGCAGGAGGCAAAGGAACCAGAACGGCUGCAGGUGGCUUUUGGCUUCCCGUGGGAAUCCACACUGUGCUCUUUAACACCAUUUGCCGCAGUAGACGACACCCAUGAUUCCAGUGAGGAUGAGCAGGAAGUCACAAGCAAGGUGAGCUCACACAUGCGUCAAAACUA
rnacentral:lncRNA from 1 species